UACGGGGGGUGCGAGCGUUGUCCGGAAUCACUGGGCGUAAAGGGCGCGUAGGUGGUUUGAUAAGGGUGUGGUGAAAGUCCGGGGCUCAACCCCGGAUCUGCUGUGCCGACUGUCAAACUCGAGGGCUGUAGAGGCAGACGGAAUUCCGGGUGUAGCGGUGGAAUGCGUAGAGAUCCGGAGGAAGACCGGUGGCGAAGGCGGUCUGCUGGGCAGUUUCUGACACUGAUGCGCGACAGCGUGGGGAGCAAACAGG
rnacentral:rRNA from 1 species